UACGAACGCUGGCGGCGUGCUUAACACAUGCAAGUCGAACGGAAAGGCCCUGCUUUUGUGGGGUGCUCGAGUGGCGAACGGGUGAGUAACACGUGAGUAACCUGCCCUUGACUUUGGGAUAACUUCAGGAAACUGGGGCUAAUACCGGAUAGGAGCUCCUGCUGCAUGGUGGGGGUUGGAAAGUUUCGGCGGUUGGGGAUGGACUCGCGGCUUAUCAGCUUGUUGGUGGGGUAGUGGCUUACCAAGGCUUUGACGGGUAGCCGGCCUGAGAGGGUGACCGGCCACAUUGGGACUGAGAUACGGCCCAGACUCCUACGGGAGGCAGCAGUGGGAAAUAUUGCACAAUGGGCGGAAGCCUGAUGCAGCAACGCCGCGUGCGGGAUGACGGCCUUCGGGUUGUAAACCGCUUUCGCCUGUGACGAAGCGUGAGUGACGGUAAUGGGUAAAGAAGCACCGGCUAACUACGUG
rnacentral:rRNA from 1 species